GCUUGUCUGUAAAUAAAAAGAAAAAAAAUAAUCAUUUCAGGUGGUCACAAACAUGUUGAAGCCGACAGUGGUAAUCAUCAAGGAAGUAUUUUUGACACAGCUGCUAACUUCAUCAAUGGAAUUGUCUAAACUCAUAAUAUAAAUGAUUUUGGAUUGAAUUAGUUAUGUAAAAUUACCAUAAUUUGAAAAUAAAAAUAUUUUUCUCAUUCC